UACGUAGGGAGCAAGCGUUGUCCGGAAUCAUUGGGCGUAAAGCGCGCGUAGGCGGCUUUGUAUGUCGAUUGUGAAAGCCCCGGGCUCAACCUGGGAACUGCAGUCGAAACUGCAAAGCUUGAAUGUUGGAGAGGUUGGGGGAAUACCUAGUGGAGAAGUGAAAUUCGUAGAGAUUAGGUGGAACACCAGAGGCGAAGGCGCCUGACUGGCCAAACAUUGACGCUAAGGCGCGAAAGCGUGGGUAGCAAACAGG
rnacentral:rRNA from 1 species